rnacentral:rRNA from 1 species
GGUUAAGCGACUAAGCGUACACGGUGGAUGCCCUGGCAGUCAGAGGCGAUGAAGGGCGUGCUAAUCUGCGAUAAGCGCCGGUAAGGUGAUAUGAACCGUUAUAACCGGCGAUACCCGAAUGGGGAAACCCAGUGUGACUCGUCACACUAUCAUUAACUGAAUCCAUAGGUUAAUGAGGCGAACCGGGGGAACUGAAACAUCUAAGUACCCCGAGGAAAAGAAAUCAACCGAGAUUCCCCCAGUAGCGGCGAGCGAACGGGGAGGAGCCCAGAGCCUGAAUCAGCAUGUGUGUUAGUGGAAGCGUCUGGAAAGGCGCGCGAUACAGGGUGACAGCCCCGUACACAAAAGCGCAUGUGCUGUGAGCUCGAUGAGUAGGGCGGGACACGUGGUAUCCUGUCUGAAUAUGGGGGGACCAUCCUCCAAGGCUAAAUACUCCUGACUGACCGAUAGUGAACCAGUACCGUGAGGGAAAGGCGAAAAGAACCCCGGCGAGGGGAGUGAAAAAGAACCUGAAACCGUGUACGUACAAGCAGUGGGAGCACAGGUUUACCUGUGUGACUGCGUACCUUUUGUAUAAUGGGUCAGCGACUUAUAUUCUGUAGCAAGGUUAACCGUAUAGGGGAGCCGGAGGGAAACCGAGUCUUAACCGGGCGUUAAGUUGCAGGGUAUAGACCCGAAACCCGGUGAUCUAGCCAUGGGCAGGUUGAAGGUUGGGUAACACUAACUGGAGGACCGAACCGACUAAUGUUGAAAAAUUAGCGGAUGACCUGUGGCUGGGGGUGAAAGGCCAAUCAAACCGGGAGAUAGCUGGUUCUCCCCGAAAGCUAUUUAGGUAGCGCCUCGUGAAUUCAUCUCCGGGGUAGAGCACUGUUUCGGCUAGGGGGCCAUCCCGGCUUACCAACCCGAUGCAAACUGCGAAUACCGGAGAAUGUUAUCACGGGAGACACACGGCGGGUGCUAACGUCCGUCGUGAAGAGGGAAACAACCCAGACCGCCAGCUAAGGUCCCAAAGUCAUGGUUAAGUGGGGAAACGAUGUGGGAAGGCCCAGACAGCGGGAUGUUGGCUUAGAAGCAGCCAUCAUUUAAAGAAAGCGUAAUAGCUCACUGGUCGAGUCGGCCUGCGCGGAAGAUGUAACGGGGCUAAACCCCAUGCACCGAAGCUGCGGCAGCGACACUGUGUGUUGUUGGGUAGGGGAGCGUUCUGUAAGCCUGUGAAGGUGUGUCGUGAGGCAUGCUGGAGGUAUCAGAAGUGCGAAUGCUGACAUAAGUAACGAUAAAGCGGGUGAAAAGCCCGCUCGCCGGAAGACCAAGGGUUCCUGUCCAACGUUAAUCGGGGCAGGGUGAGUCGACCCCUAAGGCGAGGCCGAAAGGCGUAGUCGAUGGGAAACGGGUUAAUAUUCCCGUACUUGGUGUUACUGCGAAGGGGACGGAGAAGGCUAUGUUGGCCGGGCGACGGUUGUCCCGGUUUAAGCGUGUAGGUGUGUGUUCCGGUAAAUCCGGUUCACUUUAACACUGAGGCGUGACGACGAGGCACUACGGUGCUGAAGCAACAAAUGCCCUGCUUCCGGGAAAAGCCUCUAAGCAUCAGGUAACAUCAAAUCGUACCCCAAACCGACACAGGUGGUCAGGUAGAGAAUACCAAGGCGCUUGAGAGAACUCGGGUGAAGGAACUAGGCAAAAUGGUGCCGUAACUUCGGGAGAAGGCACGCUGACACGUAGGUGAAGUGAUUUACUCAUGGAGCUGAAGUCAGUCGAAGAUACCAGCUGGCUGCAACUGUUUAUUAAAACACAGCACUGUGCAAACACGAAAGUGGACGUAUACGGUGUGACGCCUGCCCGGUGCCGGAAGGUUAAUUGAUGGGGUCAGCGCAAGCGAAGCUCCUGAUCGAAGCCCCGGUAAACGGCGGCCGUAACUAUAACGGUCCUAAGGUAGCGAAAUUCCUUGUCGGGUAAGUUCCGACCUGCACGAAUGGCGUAAUGAUGGCGGGCUGUCUCCACCCGAGACUCAGUGAAAUUGAACUCGCUGUGAAGAUGCAGUGUACCCGCGGCAAGACGGAAAGACCCCGUGAACCUUUACUAUAGCUUGACACUGAACAUUGAGCCUUGAUGUGUAGGAUAGGUGGGAGGCUUUGAAGCGUGGACGCCAGUCUGCGUGGAGCCGACCUUGAAAUACCACCCUUUAAUGUUUGAUGUUCUAACGUGGACCCGUAAUCCGGGUUGCGGACAGUGUCUGGUGGGUAGUUUGACUGGGGCGGUCUCCCUAAAAAGAGUAACGGAGGAGCACGAAGGUUGGCUAAUCUGGUCGGACAUCAGGAGGUUAGUGCAAUGGCAUAAGCCAGCUUGACUGCGAGCGUGACGGCGCGAGCAGGUGCGAAAGCAGGUCAUAGUGAUCCGGUGGUUCUGAAUGGAAGGGCCAUCGCUCAACGGAUAAAAGGUACUCCGGGGAUAACAGGCUGAUACCGCCCAAGAGUUCAUAUCGACGGCGGUGUUUGGCACCUCGAUGUCGGCUCAUCACAUCCGGGGCUGAAGUAGGUCCCAAGGGUAUGGCUGUUCGCCAUUUAAAGUGGUACGCGAGCUGGGUUUAGAACGUCGUGAGACAGUUCGGUCCCUAUCUGCCGUGGGCGCUGGAGAACUGAGGGGGGCUGCUCCUAGUACGAGAGGACCGGAGUGGACGCAUCACUGGUGUUCGGGUUGUCAUGCCAAUGGCACUGCCCGGUAGCUAAAUGCGGAAGAGAUAAGUGCUGAAAGCAUCUAAGCACGAAACUUGCCCCGAGAUGAGUUCUCCCUGAGACUUAGAGUCUCCUGAAGGAACGUUGAAGACGACGACGUUGAUAGGCCGGGUGUGUAAGCGCAGCGAUGCGUUGAGCUAACCGGUACUAAUGAACCGUGAGGCUUAACCUU